GACAUUGACAUUGAUAAGUAUUGUGAGGUUGUGAAAAAAGGCUUGAAAAUGGCAAAAUUUCUGCUCUUUCAUCCGAUGAAUAUUGCGAUUUUAAUUGUUUCUUAUAAAUCAAAUAAAUGCAACACCCGUUAAUGACACAAACAAAUCGGUUAAGUUAAAUGUUAGAAAUGUUUGUGUUAUUGGAGCCGGAGUAUCGGGCAUUGCAAGUGCGAAACAUUUACUUGAUCAUGGACACAAUGUUACCGUUUUCGAACAGAGUGAAGAUAUUGGUGGUAUAUGAUUUUACACAAAUCAAACCGACAAAAAUAAAUAUGGGUUGAAAGUUCAUUCACCGGCAUAUAAGGGUUUAAGCGCAAAUGUUCCAUCAUCGUAUAUGGAAUCAAUGGAGACUGGAUAGAUGAAGGAUCUGCAGCUAUAGAAGAGCUUGAGUGUCGGGCAAAAUUCGACAAUCAAUUCCAAAUAACUCUAUGCAGAAUGAGUGCAGCUGCUAGUAGACGAUUUGGCAUUGAGCCAGCAGUUUUUCAUCUUAUUUUAUUAGUGAUCGUAAUAUGGAUUUUAAAAUGUUUAUGUUGUGGUUGUGGCUGUUCAGGAAAAAAAACUUACAUACGUUUCCACGACGAAAUAUAAAAUAAGCCAUUUUUUGCGAAAACAAGUGGUAGUCAAGAUUUAUGGAGAUCGCCACAACAAAAUAUUUUUAUAAUAAACGCAAACAUGCAUUUCUAUCAAUCAGUUCCAAAAGAACGUCUACUUUUCACGUAUAUUUGUAUAAGACAUUCGAAAUAGGAUA